UUUCCGUAGGUGAACCUGCGGAAGGAUCAUUAUUGAGUUUUGAAGUGGGCUUGAUGCUGGCGUCUUCACCGAUGCAUGUACUCAGCCCCGCUCUCAAAUCCAUUCAACACCUGUGCACUUUCAAAGUUGUGGUCCUCCGUAAUGGGAGCUGCAGGUCUUUAUUGAUCUGUUGGGACUGCUCUUUGCCCUUUAUCACAAACUAUAUGCAUUGUCUUGUAGAAUGUUUAGCCUCAUAGUGGGCGAAAUUUAAUACAACUUUCAACAACGGAUCUCUUGGCUCUC
rnacentral:misc_RNA from 1 species